AGGCCAUGGUGAGAGCAUUCUUGGAGUAGAUCCUUGAAUCUCUCAAUUAGUUUAGAAAAGGACUCACUUUUGCCUAAACUAAAGAAUAUCAUUUCUAAGCUU